rnacentral:rRNA from 1 species
UUGACCUCAAAUCAGGUAGGACUACCCGCUGAACUUAAGCAUAUCAAUAAGCGGAGGAAAAGAAACUAACAAGGAUUCCCUUAGUAACUGCGAGUGAAGAGGGAAGAGCUCAAAUUUAAAAUCUGGCAGUGUUUUGCUGUCCGAGUUGUAAUCUAGAGAAGUGCUGCCCGUGCUGGACCGUGUACAAGUCUCCUGGAAUGGAGCGUCACAGAGGGUGAGAAUCCCGUCUUUGACAUGGACUGCCAGUGCAUUUGUGGUGUGCUCUCAAAGAGUCGAGUUGUUUGGGAAUGCAGCUCUAAAUGGGUGGUAAACUCCAUCUAAAGCUAAAUAUUGGCGAGAGACCGAUAGCGAACAAGUACCGUGAGGGAAAGAUGAAAAGAACUUUGGAAAGAGAGUUAAACAGUAUGUGAAAUUGUUGAAAGGGAAACGCUUAAAGUCAGUCGUGUCGGCCAGGGAUCAACUCAGUUUUCUUUGCUGGGUGUACUUCCUGAUCUGAUGGGCCAACAUCAGUUUUGACUGCUGGAGAAGGAUAGAGGGAAUGUGGCACCUUCGGGUGUGUUAUAGCUCUCUGUCGGAUGCAGUGGUUGGGACUGAGGAAAGCAGCAUGCCGCAAGGCCGGGUUUCGACCACGUUCAU